AUCUAAGGCCAUACCACCCUUAACGCACAUGAUCAUGUCUGACAAGGUCUGGCCUGGUUAGUGCUUGGAUGGGAGGCUGCCUGGGAAUAUCAUGUGGUAUAAUCU
rnacentral:rRNA from 1 species